rnacentral:lncRNA from 1 species
GUUAAACGAGAAAACGCCUCUUAUCGACCAUUAAAAUUACAAAUUUUGAAACCCUUUGAUCAUUAGGCAAAUAAUAUCGAAAAGAUUUGAAAUUUGAUUUCUAAACAUUCAAGUGGUAUAGAUCAUGUUCAACGGAGCCGAUCGUCAAUUUGGAAGUUUUAUCAUCGAAAACAAAUCGGUAGUAAAACAGUUUGUUUACUACUGAUAGUAUUCUAGCUCAACUCUCUCUCUCUCUCUCUUUCUUUCUCUCUCUCUCUCUCUCUCUCUCUCUAUCUAUAUAUAUAUAUAUAUAAA